rnacentral:lncRNA from 1 species
GGAAUAGGCGCGUCAGGAGUCAGAGGCCUGCACCAACAGAAGCCAGAUGGCACAGCCUGGACCCUUCCCUCUGUCCUCCAAGCCAAGGGCUCCUUUCAAAGCUUCAGCAAGCUUAGAUGAGCUCUUGCUCCUGCAGACUGAGGUCAGGUUCAGGUGGCAAAGGGAUCUAGAAGCAGCCGGAAUCACACCGCAGGCCGAGCUGGGGGCAGGCGCUCCAGCUGCAACCACAUAACCCGCACCCGGAAGACGCUGACUCCAGGUGUCCAAGGCAGCUCCCCCAACAUGAGAAGAAGAGCAAAAAACAAAGAUGCCCACUGCAAAGCACCUAAAGAGAAUCCAAAAUAUGGAAUUAAGGUUCCACAUCAGGAGAACACAGCAGUACGGCAGGGACUCAGGAGACAGAGUCUGCACCUUUGAGAACUGGCUACGGGACCCUGGGAGAGUCACCUCGCCUCUUAAGGAUCAGACCUCUCUUCCAGAAGCUUACAUCAGCAGGCCCAAGAAGCUCUCACUCUCCAAGCCCCCUGGCCAUUCUAAACACAAUUUUAUGAAAUGUAAUCCUGAGUAUAUUCACGGCAAGACAGGCUCUGAGCUGACAGAGUGACAUCCACUGCAAACCUGGGUGAAAAAGACUCACCACUCACUGAGAGUUGCCAGGAUAUGCCCUGGAACCUAACUGCAUCUUUCCUUCCCUGAGCCCCAGGGGCACACGGUGUGCCAAACCCCCAGAAGGAACAAGGCCACUAGGACCAUGGGGAGGCAGGCCCUGCAUGAGAACCGCCCGAAACCACAGCCUGAGUAAAAUCUGCCCCCUUCAAUCUGGAAAGAAGGUCGUUCAAAGGGACUCUGCUGAAUCUUGGCCCAGCAGAAACAGAAAUGACCUCGAUGAUGCCCACAGCAGACACUUCCCCUAGGGAUGGGUGCCUUUCAGAUGCCACUUCACCAAGACAUAGCAGCAGCAGCAGCAGAAAAUACCAAUAGGUUUGCUCCACUCCCGAAUACGAAAGCCCCCAAUCUCCUGCUAAGGAAUAGGGAAACUAAGGAACCGACCCCUAGGUAUGCAUGGGGUCUAUUACAGCCCUCACUCCUCAGUCUUGGAUGCACAAGACAAUCGACUCAGGAACUUUAAAGAUACCAACACUGGGCUGCUGCCCCCCUCUCCAAGAUUGUGAUGUAAUUGGGCCUGAAUGCAGCCUGGGCAUCUGGAUGAUUUUUUUUUUUUUCAACCUUCCCAGGUGACUCUAAUGUGCAGCCAAGAUUCAGAACCAUUACUCUAGCUUCUAGAAGUUCAGAGCACAGGGGCCCCAGCACUCUCCUACAAACUCUUCCGGGGCAGAAAGGACAGCACGCCCAGCCAGGCAGGCCUUGCUAGAGAUGGGUCUCCUUAUUCUUCCUUCAAAACACACGCACACUCACACACCCGCCAGAACCAACCUGCAAAGAGCCAUCUGUCUGAGACACAAUGCAGGACUGCUGCCCAGCCCUGGCUGGGGCGCACCAAGUUCAGUCACACUGGAGGAUAUACAAUUGUGUUCGUUCAGUUAUUUGAUUACUUUAGGCACGUAAACAAAAUAUGAUAUUGUACAGACCUGGAGUGGCAAACACCACAUCAUAAUUUACUUUGAGACAUCUGAAUUACAAAUGCAAAAAUAAAAAAAAGUUGGAAACGCU